UAGAGAUCGGCGAUAAGGCUUAAGUCGUAACAAGGUAUCCCUACCCGAAGGUGGGGAUGGAUCACCUCCUUU
rfam:Candidatus Levybacteria bacterium RIFCSPHIGHO2_01_FTLL_37_17 rifcsphigho2_01_scaffold_39, whole genome shotgun sequence.